rnacentral:lncRNA from 1 species
UCGAUUCUCGUAUUUCGUAUUAGUGACCUGGUUGGUCGAUUCUCGUACUUCGUAUUAGUGACCUGGUUGGUCGGUUCAUGUAUGUCGUAUCUGUGACCCAUUUGUCGGUUCUUGCAUCUACACUUUUGUUGACCCUUGAGCAGUAUUUGCAUACUUCUAAGAGGAUGUUGAGUUGUUCCAUCCUAAUUGAGCUGAGUGGUCAGUUCUUGUUCCUCCUUACAGUUGAUGACCUAUACGAUCGGUGAGCCCUGUGGGCAGGAUUGUCGGCUGGUUGUCGACGGUUGAUUAUUGAGCAUAUUGCAUUGAUCGCCCGAUACUCGUCGCAUUUCACGAACACUGGCGGUCUGAUCCACCGCAAGGGGUGUUCUUUUCCAGAAAAGUGGUUGCAGGUAUCAACUCGUGAGCCCUAGAGGGGUUAUAUGCAUGGUUGAGUGGCAGUGGUACUGUCAGGAGGUUUGCGGUGCGCACCUCCAAGGCACAGGCUUGAGGCUUGCAGUGCGGACCAACAGAGCAGCAGAUUCUAGAUUGGGUAUAUUUGGUCUAUACAUCCGGUUGACGCAUAUGUCUAUAGUAGCAGUCGUUGCAUGCAUACUUACAGUUUUUGCCUUACAGUUGUCUUGUUACUAUAGUAUAUAUCCAUGUAUGUUUUUUGUUCUAGUUACAGUAGCGGUAGUCGUUAUUCUGUUAUAGUUCUACUUCCUUUCAGUUUAUUGCUACUAUAUUCAGUAUAUCUACUCAUUACCUUGUUUAUCUCUUCCUGAUCCAAUGAGUACUCCUCGCCUUCAUCGGCUUGCGGUACCCACUGGGAGGGGAGACAUGUUUACAUGUUCUCACCUCCCCCACUAUUUUUCAGGUAUUGCAGGCAGUGAGUGUUGGGACGAGACGUGAGAUACGUUUGUAGCGGUUGAUAGUGCUUCCGACCCGGUUUGUGUAGUUUAGUUACUACCUUCGUUAUUUUUGUUGAUAUGACUUAGACAUCUAUAUGGUUCAGUAUUUCAUUAUGUAUAAUUAUUCAAGAUUUCAGUUGGUUUUCCGAAUGAGAUAAAGAUUUCUGGAUUUUUGUAAAAAGAAAAGGUUUUCUAUCCCUCGUGGUAGCGUGUUUUAAAAAGAAAAGGUUUCCGUGUGGGAAACAGCUUUCAAAAGAGUUUUCUCGUGAUUUUCUUGAAUUAGUAUUUCAAAAUAAGUUUCUGGAUAGGAAACGUUUCAACUGAUAGUUGUGAUUUAUAUUCAGAUCUAUAUUUAUGAACCUGUGGUGAAUGGUGUAUGGAUAUUGAAUGCAAGAUGACUUGUAUAUUCAUUUAGUUGUGGUUCUAUCUUGUUUUACAUUUUGUACUUGUGCGACGCCGUGCAAAUAUACAGGGGAGACUCUGUCCGUGUGAACAGUGGAAUCCCUGUAUUUGUGGCGGAUCUAGCAUACCCUGGGUCAGGUUUUCAAAAAAAAAAAAAAUUUAGUCACUUCCGCUGUAUUUUCAAACUAAAAAGGACCCCGGGGCGUGACAGAUUAAAGUGGUAUCAGAGACAAGUUACAAACAUGACACCAUUCACAGGUUGUUUUGAAAAAUAAAUAAAACUGAACCAUUGGUUAGGUUGACCCUUAGGAAGACCUACGGUAUAUAGGCACGUGAGUGCGGGGUUUGGGCUUGAGUCCCGGUGUGAAUGUUGAGAUUGGUAAACUUGAAUGCAUGGUUAUUUCCUUAUGCGUUACGGUUUUCGCACAAGCUGGUGUCUAAGUCGGGAGUAGUGGCGGUGUACUACGGACAUCGAGUGGCAGGACGACAUUCCCCAGGUGUUGCCACUCCUGUCAGGUGGGGUUUUGAAGGGCCAGGUGAUCUUCAGCCUAGGCGAGUGUCUUAACUGCCGACACCCAGGCCACUCUUCCUACUGAGGGCACGAGAGUUACUGCGAGUGUCUAUACGGAGACGGUACUUGGACCAGUUAUGGUCGCGACUUCAGUGGGGCUACUAGGGUGUAGCCUAGGGUUUGGAUAGCGGUCGUUUAGGCGACUGCAUUGUCAGUGUUGCUUCCGCAGAUCUUUAGGUAAGGUUGCGAUGCCUAUCUCUCCUCCUUGAUUGCUGAUUGGAAUCAGCAAUUUGGGUCUUUUGACCUUGAACUAGUUCUUUUGUCAAAUUGACGUGUACUAGAGUCGGAUUGACACAGUUUUGGUGUCAGGUUUUCGUUGAGGCAUACAUCGUAUGCGGUUAUUCUAACACCUAAAUUGGUGUGUUGUGGGUUAGUUUGUAGUUGGUGAUAGGUUUCGUCUUGAUUCGAGAGACUCCAGGUUAUUGUCGGAAUUUUCAGAGCUUUGAUUAUAGCUCGGUUGUGGUGCAAAAAUCGGUUAGAUAAAUCGUUUCCUAAAACCUCAGUUGGUUCGGUUCGCGGCUUAGUGUCGCUAGCAGCUUUCGGAUGUUGAAAGUUAUAGGACUCCCUGUGAGUCGGUUCAGGGUCGUUCUGAUUUCGAAUGUCGACUGGUAAAGUCGAUGUUUGGAUAGUAAUGGUUGUGAACUCUUGGUUCAGUGAAGAGGUAUGAGGUAGCUUGAUACUUCGAUGUGUCGCGCUUCCAACUUGUUGUUGGUAGUGGAUCUUCGGAUAUUUCGUUUUCUUUUGAUAAGUACAUUGGCUGCAGACAAUAUACUGUCAAAAGUGGGACAAAAUACCCUUUCCCUGCUUGGGGACUCUUGGAUUGGGUUGAUAGUUUUCUCUAAAGUGUCUUGUGGGAAAGCUAGAGUGAUGGUCAUCUCUGACCACGUAGCGAGCCUUGGAUUAUUCCCUGGCAGGUUUGCGCAGUUGAUUUAUCAUCACUGCCGAUGGUUUUGACUCUAGUUCGAGUCUGGGUGUCUGUAGUUCUUUAGUUGUGCUUCCCACAACUAAAAGGUUUGUUAGUUAGUAGUCUCGGUCUGUUGCCGUGAGGUUCGGAAUUAGUGGUGGAGUGACUUGAGCCUGGUUGUUGGCUUUGAUUAUCACCGUAUGUGAUAGCGUGUAAGGUUUGCAACUUGGCGUAACGUGCAAAUCUUGAAAUGGUAUACUUGUCCAGUCAAAUUGGUGACAGGUGCGCCUGGGUCUCGAUAAGACGGGUAAUUGGGUGUUGCUGGGAACAUCGAUCGCUAGGGUCCCUUAUAGGACGGCAGCGACAGGAUCUCGUAGAGACAGGUGUUGAGCAUCACCGAUGGAUUUUUUAUCGCAUAUGCGAUUGGCGACCUGUGCAUCAAGUGAUAGACUUGCAAAAAGCAUUUGGUGAUCUGUUGGUACCAGAUUAAGUUUGAGGGGACAAAAUUGUCUAGCUCAAUUAGUAUUGUCAGUUAGACCUUUUGGUCAAGUGGAAAGCGAGGUCUUGGAUCUAGGACUAUAGAUUGUCGCAGGUGACUUUCCGUUGAUGAAGGUUCCGGCAGUUUGUGUGGUUAUUGGUGGGAGACUGUGGUCUCCAAGGUGAGAGUUUUGACUCAGGUAGAACAACGUUUCUUAUUCGCUCAUGGUGAGCAAGUUGACGUUGUUGGCUAGUCAGAGUGUGUCUUUUCGGCCUAUGAAAAUACACUCCAGACUUGUGGUGUUGACUCUCUUCUACGUGAACCUUCGACGUCGUCGAGUCGGUUAUUGGUAUGCGGACCAAGGUUUAGUGUAUCUAGAGUUUCUGAGUGGAGAAUUUUUAUCUCAGAGUUGGUAAUUUGGGAUCUGGUAAUCCUAGUCGCGGGACUGUUUUUGUUCGCAGGUUAUAGGAUGGUGUUGAUCCCGGUGAGUUUUGGUCUGUAAAUUUUGGGUUGGUACGUUUUCCCUCGAUUUGUCAGGUGGAACCGCAGUCCUAUUUUCCCCCUUCUUCGGAGGUUGAUAUAUCCAAAUGUAAUUGACCAGUACUCAAGGGUGAUACUGUAGUGGUGGAGUAAUACCUGAAUUCGAUUACGAUAGGUACGUGGUCAAGUUUCGGGGAUGAAACUUCUUUUAAGCGGGGGAUAAUGUAAGGACUGAGAUUUUGGCAGUGCAGCUAAACUCUCUGCUGACGAUGUUUCUUUGUGUAAUUUAAUUACAUAAGCACUCGUCAAAUUUCAGGAGAAAAUGAGCUAGAAUAGAGAAGUUACGCGACCAGGACCGAUGACUUAAAGUGAAUAGUAACUCCGGCUUUUCGGAUGAGCUAGUUAGUAGAGAACGGUUCUGGCGCGUAUUGGACUCCGAACAUAGGACUCCAAUAGCUCGUUUCGAACGGCUCGACUAUUCUAAACCCAGUGGCACUGACGGGAUUAGGUUCUGAAGCACGGUUUUUGAGAAAAAAGGAUUCGAGUGGAUUUAUAUAUAUAUGGUGUAUAUAUAUGUGUGUGUUUUAUAGUAGAUUAAAGAGGGUUGAUUUCGUCGUGAAUCGGCAACCAAUCGGGUGAAGCGAAAUGCUAGAUUCGAUGCCCCAGUCGUGCUGAACGCGCUGAUGCAAUCCGUUCGGAAAUCCGAUGGAUGGAUCCUCAGGAAAUGUGAGAAGUUCAUUGAAGGGUUGAAUUGGCAAAAAUGGAAAUUUCGCGAGAAGCCCUAUAUUUUAUGUACCGAAUUGCAUGAAAUCGGACGACGAGGUGCGUGCGUGCAAAAUACACGCGUUGUGAAGGUCUCAGUAUGAAAUAAUAAGGUUCGGAGGACUUAUGUGCAAAAUGGCCAUUUGCAUAAAAGAGAUUUUUUAGGGUUUUCAAUGAGAAACCCAACCCUAGAGGCCUUCUCCCUCAGCCGACCCCUCUGCCAUCCUCAGCAUCACCAUACCCGUGCCGCGCGCGCACCCGGCCGCCGGCAGGUGCCCCGGCUGCUGGAAAAUUUGGAUUCGGCCUUUUCUCCAUCACUUCUACUACCUAACUACCUCCUCCUCUCCACCGCGGGCCACCCAGGAUGAUUCUCAACUUUCGGGCCCCUUCUUCAGCCAUGGCCUGACCUCCGGCAUCGUCCUCACCGGCCUAUGCCGCAUGCGCACGCAGCCAGAGCUCUUGUGGCCGCCUGGACAGAGUACUGGCCAAGCCGAGGCCACCUUGGCCUCCGCGCGCCGCCGUCGCCUUUAAUCGGUCGGGCUGCCUCACUAGGGCUUCCGGCGACCCUCCGCGCGCCACUGCCACUGUCCCCGCCAGCCCUGUCGUCCACUCGCGCGCCGCCGUCGCCGCCUGGGCGAUUCACGGGCAGCAUCUGCCAGCUCGGGCCGAGAAUGGCCGCAUUGCCUUCCAGCGCCGCCGCCGCCGCCGGGGACCUCAUCGGCGGCCACCCUCAUGACCACCGGCACCCCCGCGUCCUGCCCGAAGGGCCGCCGUCGCCGCCACACGCCUUGGGCGCGGUCACAGCGACCCACGGCCGAGCCGAACUCGGGUAGCCACGCCUGAGCUGCGGGCUACCGACGCCGUCGUGCGGAGCCGCCACUCUACUCCUCGUAACCCCGGAGGAGCCCUGCGACCACCCCGCGGCUGCUCGAGCUCCGCCAUGGCCGGAGUUGGCGGUUGGAGCUUCCCCCUAACCCGUGCAGGCUCAGUCUUCCCCCACGCCGCCGCCACCGGCCGGCGUGAGCACCGGCUCCGCCUGGUCGGCCGCACUCAUCCUGCCGCCGGCUCCCCACCACCGGAGCUCCCUGUCGGCCGGAUCUGGACCAUGCUCUCCUCGGGUUGCUUAGCCUAGGGCAUCAAUUACUGUCGUCACCUAAAAAUUUUGAGGAGCCCAAGGAUCUAUCUAGAUUGUAUCCAACACCUAGAGGGGAGUGAAUAGGUGUAACGGCUAAAAAACCACAAAUCUCAAUGCGAUCAAAAUAAAUGCAGAAAAUAAAAAUCACAAGAGAUUUACGUGGGAAAACUCCAACUUGGAGUAAAAAACCCACGGGACCAACACGCGAAAAAAUAAUUCACUAAGAAGAAAGAUUACAUGGUGAUUACCGACUCCACGGACUCAACCUCUCUUAACCUCCUAUGAAUCUCGCGCAAUCCUCCGGGUUGUCCACGCCCUCACGUUCGAACCCACGAAUGCCACGUUCCGAAUCCACGAAACGCCUCCACUCCGAAUCCACGAAGCUCACGAUCCGAAUUCACGAACCGCCGUCAAUCACGCUGAAUCCACGACACCAUCAUGAAGAACAUCAUGUUUAUGGUGAUCCUUCGCUUAGAGUAUUGAUGAAAACCAGGAAAUAGAUCUCCAAGCAAAGCGAACGUCAAAUCGACAUAUAGAUAUGAAAUUCCAAUAUCUCGAUUUGACCUAAAAGAGGCUAAUAUGUAGAAAAUAUAUUUUAGAUGAAAUACGAGCCUCUAGGGUUUCUCAAACAUGUAUUUUCGUGAUGCUUAAUAAGUUAGAGAACCCCAAUAGCUUAUUUAUAGACUUUAGAAUCAAACGGAGUUGGAUUAAAAAGUUUUUACCGAAAUUUGCAUUAUGUACCAGUACACAUGAGGCUGUCACCGGUACACGAUGACGGAACAGAAAUCUGCGAAGCCAAAGAAAAUUUACGAAACAAUGUUGAUGGCUGUACUGAUACGGGUCAAUGGCUGUACCGGUACACAGUGCAUUUUUCAAACUUUUCAGUAUUUUGGGUUCCGCAGAGUUCCGAAGUACUUUCUAAUCAACUAGACAUUGAUAAUAAUGAUUCUAAUGCCUAUACUAAGUACGAAUCACCAUAACAUGAAGUAAAGACUUUACUAAGCAUCGUGAUUCAUGUCGUGAGUUAUCUCUGCCUUCUCCAAAGUCUUGGAUUCUUCGUUCUUCGACGAUAUGCUCCGAAACCUUCAAGACUCCGACUCAAUCCAUGAAACUUGCCAACAUACAAGACUUAACAAUCUCCCCCUUUGGCAAUUUCGUGACAAAAUUCACAAUAAGUCAAAAAAUUACAUUUUAAAGAAAAACGAAGUUCAAUUGUCAUCACCAAAACAUUGAACCCCUCGCAUGCGAUCCAAAUACAAUAUGAAACGCAAAAGUACAUCAAAACUCCUAAGACAGACUCUAUGACUUAGACACAACUAGGAGUCUUGAAGUCUUGAUGUCAUUCAAUUCAAUGUUCUUUCAAUGUUCUUAUUGUACUCGAUCCAUCUCCCCCUUUGUUCAUCAUUCUCUCCAUCAUCUGCUUUGAUCAAUACCUGUUCUUCUUAUGAUCUCCCCCUUUUUGUCAAAAAUUGCCAAAAAAAAGCAUAUAGAUAGGAAAUACACUAAGAAGCAAAAGAGUAGUCAAGUCAUAGUUACAGGCCUAAAGCAAAAACAAAAACAUGCAAAGGUAAGAUAAACAAACCAAGCUAAACUAAAACAUCAUCCUACAAAGCAAACACAGUGAAGUAAACAGAAGAAAUCACUCCGUGUCCUCGUCAUCAUCAUCGUCAAUUCCAGCUCCAGCUCCAGAACCAGAACCUCCCGCAUCCGAAGCUCCAGUAGAUGGAGGAAUAAGAGGAUGCCGCGAAGUAGACCUCGUGUAGGUAGGCUGAGUAGGAAAAAUAUCAUCAUGCCCACAUCCCAAUUUUUACAUCAUCCUCUUCAUGCCCACUUCCACCUUCCUAGCAAGAUCUGCCACUUUCUUCUUCAAAGAUCGCACCUCAUGGUGAAGUAAUUCUACAGUAAUCACUCCCCCUGAACUGGAAGAUCCCUCACACUCUGCUCGAGGUGGAGGUACCGGGCUAGAAGCUGCUCGCGAUGGUCCUUUCGUUUCCUGAAAAGUCUUUAGCGUGCUAACCGACUUGGCCUAGGUAACAGCAUCGAUUGGACCAAGACCGAAAUCAUACUUCUUGCAAGAAACAUCUACUCCAUUCUCCUGCAGAAUUCUCAUGAUCAACAGAGGAAAUGGAAGUAGAUCCCGUCGGGCAGAAGCCUGAAUGACAUGAACCAUCCGCUGCCACAUCAGAAAAGGGAUGUUGACGUUCAAACCAUAUGCUUGCUCAGGGUGACCAAGUAGAUAUAGCAGAACCAAACGAUCCCAACGAAUCCUCUUUAUUACAAUCGUUGGUUGCACAUUGUAGCUCAAAACCCAGGACAGUAGAUGAUACUCUGGUAGUAAGUCCUUGGACUCCACAUAAGCACGAUUAGUUUGCACUCCAGCCUUGCAAAUAGCUUCUACAACUGUAUCCCAGUGAGAUGAAGAUUGAAAUCCUCCUGAUGUAUAAAGAAGACUAGUAGUGUCCACGUUCAUCCCCAACAGCUCUUCAAUAGUAUGUGGGGUAACGAGGACCUUCUGCUGACGCACGAAUGUCUCAAAUAGAAAAGUCCCGAUCUCCUCAUCCUCUACGAGUACCUUCCCGUUCAUAUAGAACUCACGAAUGAGUUCCACACAAAAUGGAGCGCGAGCAGGAACCCUACCAACUGGCUCAAUAGGAACCCGUUGAAGUAGCCGUCCAAACUCAGGAACGUCAUGUAUAAGUUCAUUGAAGUUGACAUAACGCUCUGCAAUACAUGACUUGCUCAUUAACAUCCUCCGCCGCUCUGGGGGAACAUCCGCGGCCUGUUUUGAACGACGCUCAUGAGCAUGAGAACCACCUCAUGAGGACUCUCCAGCUAUACCCUUUCCUUUGUCAGGACGAGCAACAGCCUCGGGAGAACUGGCCUGAUAAUCUGGAUCAGAACCAGAUGCCUCAGUAGUAGUACGUGUCCUCUUAGAGGCCCUUCGACGACCCCUUCCACGAACAUGACCGCUCCCAGCGGCCAUAAGCACCAGCAAUGUCAACACGAGGAAAAACACCAUUUUCCUACACAACAAGAGCAUAUAUGAACACAAUUUUUCCAAAAAAUUUGUAAAAAUAGUGAAAAAUUUUCUAAUAUUCUUAGAAUGGAUACUAACGCUAUUUCAAACUAAUUCAUGCAAAAAAUUUCAUCAAAAAUUGAUAUUCCAACACAAAUCCCGAAAUUCCAAGCAUAUCGAAAUCUAGAUCACAAAUCAGCGAAAAAUAAUACGUUUUGACAUGAUUGAAGUGACUUAGACGCAAGAUAAUAUCCAUAAACACUAAUCUACAGCAAAAAAUUGCAUAAAAAAUGAUCAAAAACAGAGAUCUGAGCAUGAACUCGAAAUUUUUUCAAAAAAAAAUGCAAAAACGUGAUGAUACCAUGAAAUCCCAACAAAAUACUCACAGAUUUAGGGGGGAACUUCGUGGAUCUGGAGGAGGAGGAUCCUAGGGAGUCGUAGAAACAGAGAGAAUGAGAUUUGGUUUUGAAUUUUGGAAGAAAUAAGACCCUAUAACCGGAUAUAUAAGCUGCUGUUAUAGUAACCGUACUGGUACACGGGUUUGUGUACCGGUACACAGUCCCAAAUUUCGAAAAAUUUACAUUAAAAAUCUAUUAAUCUUAAAUUAAUUUUAUAUAAAUUAAGAAUUUUAUUCCAAAAAUUAUUAUAAUAAAAAUAAAAUAUUAUAAGAUUUCAAAAUACAUCGAAACACCAAAAUUUCAUAAUAAAAAAUGACCUCAAGUUGCAAAAUCAUCAAGAUGUAACGGUUCACGAAAAAUAAUUUUUUAGAAAUUCGGCAAAUUUGACACCAAUUUGUCGUAACACGUUCAAAAUAGAGAUUUAACUAAUACGAUACCGGGGGUGGCUUUGAGCAUCUUUUUCAAAUUAACACCUUAUAACUCCGAAAAUUCUAAAAUAUUCAAAUUUUUUUUCAACCUUUUCGGUUAUUCAAUUCAAUUCAAUCUUCAUGUGGUAGCUUCACACAUUUGCCGAACGACCGGGGUGGUAACUCUUUCUUACAUGUGGCGGUAGUUUUCACACUCAUUUUGAAUGUAACUCUUUUCACAUCUUUUAAACAUAGGAGUUUCCCCUUUUUUUUAAAAAAUAAAUAAUUUCAAACUCCUCCUAAAUUAGACAAUCUCACAAUUGAAAAUAUUUUGAUAAAUUUUAGUUUAUUAGCGAAUAUCCAUCUAUCAUAUCCAACACACACAACCGAGAUAGAUUAAUCAUUAAGAGAUCAAAUUUGAUUUCAAAGUUUUGUUCAAUAUAUGUAUUAAGAAAUCAUAUAUUAAAUUAUCGUCAAAAUAAUAAAAAGUGGAGUAAAACCGAUAAUAAUAUGAAUUUAAUUCAAGAUGAAUUCCGGUUAAAAACACUUUGAAAAAUUUUAAUCUCCCAAAAAUAAAGAUUUUCAAUCGUCUCCUUUCUCAAAAAAAAAUUUUAAAAUUCUCAAACAUCCUUACUCAAAUCAUUUUUUUUUUUUAAAAAAAUUUGCACACAAAAAUCAUCAUGUAAUGCAAUGAAUAAAAAAAUACAACAAGCACCAAUCAAAGCAUUACAUAAACAAUUAAAAUAAACUAAGACAAAAAGCAGGGAAAGAUAUCACCUUUUCGAAUCCAAACUUGUCGGAUUUUGCGUUGUCUUGUCUUGUCGAUGUUAGGCAUAAUUUGCUUUGAUUUUUGAUCAACCGUUAGUCGUUUCGUCGCUUAAGGCUUCGGUUGGAAUUGUUGAUGAAACUUUGACUUCCGAUUUGCUUGUGGGAAUGAUCGAACUUGACGUUGCGGCUUUGAAGUCCAGUUCCCUUGAGGUACUCGACUCACUUGAUUUUUCUUUUGAUUCUGUGGGUUUUGAUGUGUCCUUUGAUGCCACAUUUAUGACACACCUUCUCUUUCGAAGUUGUUGAGACAUUAGAAGUUGAUUUUGAAACCUUUUCAACACAUCAUAUCCGAGGCCGAACUUGUUUGUUUGACCCAAUCCGAGCAUAUGAUCUAAUUUCUUUGAGCCGGAAGAGAAUUUUUGUAUGUCAGAUUGAAGUUGACGAACUUGAUUGGUCAAUGACUUGUUGGAUGUAUGCGAUCCUCGAAUUGUUGCUCCAAAAAUCCAACCUUGUCUUUAUACGAUUUGAUCGUUGACUCCGCUUAAUCAAGUUUCUCUUGGAGGAUUAAGUUAUUCUUAGAAAUCGAUUCCUUUUCCUCCUUAAGAGCUUUAUUCAUUGUCUUCAAAUUUUUGUUCACCUCUUCAAUGUCCAAUAAACGACGCCUCAACUUCUUAUUGAGCUUGGUCAUCUUUUUCGAAUCAAUAAGAAGUUGGUUGUAUGCUUCCGCUAUAUCCUCGUCGUUUGAUUCCUCCUCGCUUUCACCGAUAUCGCUCGAAGUAUCUUGCACGGAAGGAGAAAUACUAGAAUUAGAAACAAUUGAGGAUAAGCACAUAACAUUAGACGAAGGCAAAGAAUUAUUAGCAAGUAAAGCAAUAUGAUCAUCCUUUUCUUCGUCACUUGAAGAUGAUUCACUCGAAGUAGAAUCAUCCCAAGUUUUUGCUUACAAAGCCUUUUGUCUAUCAGUCUUCUUAGAAGGACAAUCCGUUGCAAUGUAACCGUAGCCUUUACAUUUGUAGCAUUGGAUUUCACCGUCAAAUUCAUCUUUUUCUUUCGAAGACUUUGCAAGUUUUUUAUCCUUAGAUUUAGAACUUGAAGAUUGUCUUGAAAAAGAUUUAUACUUCGAAUAUGAAGCCUUGUCCGUAUUGUUCUUCUUUUGAAAAUUCCGUCGGAAUUUCUUUGUGAGGAGAGCCAAUUGAUGUUCAAAGUCGCCGAGCGAAAUAUCUCCGUCGAAAUCCGAGUCGUCUUCUUCUUUCUUUGUUGAUUUGAGUGCAACCCCUGUGCUUUUAGAAAAAGAUUUGGAAGAAGAUGGGUUAGUAGGAAAAGUCAUCUCAUACGUUUGUAGAGCGCCUACUAAUUCUUCGACUUUCAUCUCGUCCGGAUGCUUAAUGGUUUCGAUUGCGGCAACCUUUGCCCGAAAGCGUUCCGGAAGAGUUCGAAGAAUCUUUCUAACAACCUUAGCAUCCAGGAUUUUCUCUCCCAAGUUAGCGCAUGUAUUCACAGCGUCUUGUAGACGCGUAUAGUACUCGGUAAAGGUCUCGUUUUCUUCUAUAAAAAUCGAGUGAAAUUUGCUUGUUAGCAUUUGUAAUUUUUGGACCUUUACUAAGCUUGUUCCUUCAUGCGUAACUUGUAGAGCAUCCCAAAUUUCCUUUGCCGUUUCGCAUGCCGAAACAUGAGUAAACUCUGUUUGCGAUAAAGUGUUGAAUAAAGCAUUAAUUCCUUUACCGUUAAACGAACAUGACUCAUUUUCAUCAUUUGUCCACUUGUUUCGUGGUUUUGGCGUUUCAACAUUCUCGACCUUUUCAAUAGGAUGUUUCCAUCCAAAUUCUAUUGAUUGCCAAACGCGCUCAUCGAUUGCGAUUAGAAAAGCUCUCAUGCGAACUUUCCAAUAGGCAUAGUUUGUGCCAUUGAAAAACGGUGGUCGAUUAAUGUUUUCGCCUUCGGCCAUUAGAUAACAAUUUAUCUAGAUCCCGCUCUGAUACCAAUUGAAAGUUUUGAGGAGCCCAUGGAUCUAUCUAGAUUGUAUCCAACACCUAGAGGGGGUGAAUAGGUGUAACGGCAAAACAACCACAAAUCUCAAUGCGAUCAAAAUAAAUGCGAAAAAUAAAAAUCACACGAGAUUUACAUGGGAAAACUCCAACUUGGAGUAAAAAACCUACGGGACCAACACGCGAAAAAAUAAUUCACUAAGAGAAAAGAUUACAAGGUGACACUACAACAAAAAUAAUUUUUAGUGGCAACUUUUUAGUGGCGACAAGAACUGUCGCCACUAAUGUAUUUAAUAUGGUGGCGACAUUUAUUUGUCGCCGCCAAUUCGUAGGAAAUGGCGGCGACAUUUAUUUGUCGCCACCAAUUCGUAGGAAAUGGCGGCGACAUAUAAUAGUCGCCACCGAUACGGGAUGCAUUGGCGGCAACAUAUAAGAGUCGCCACCGAUACUAAAAUAUAACCACUGAUACAGAUACUAAAAUAUAACCACCUCUAUACAGAUGCAUUGGUGGCGACAUUUAAAUGUCGGCGCGAAUACAUAAACAAUGGCGGCGACGCCUAUAUGUCGCCACCAAUGUGUAAACCAUUAGUGGCGACUAAUGUCGCCGCAGAAUUUUUUCAUACAUCCCGCCAUUACUUCCCUCCUUUUUUUUCCCACCAACCAGCACCAUUCUUUUCUUUUUGUUGGACUAUUAUACCCUUACUUAUUUUAUAUGUUGUAUGCAAAUAGUUGGACUAUUUAGUCUUUUGACAGAUUAAAAAAGAGUAAAUAAUAUGCACAGGGAAAAAAUCCCUAAACCCCAAAUUACACGAUCACCCUCUCAUUCACCUCUCCCCCUCUCCUUCACAUCUCCUCUCUUCUCCCUCUCGAAGCUCGGAUCGCGUUCGCACUCUCUCCCUCUCCUUCACCUCUCCUCUCUUCUCCCUCUCUAAGCUUGGAUCCUUAUCAGCGGCAGCGGCGGCGGUGGCGUCGUCUCCGGCGGAGGAGCUCUCGGUGGCAGAGUGGCUGAGGAAGCUCUCGGCGGCGGAAUCUAGGGUUCCGGCGGGAUCAGUUCGUAACCUUCCUUCUUGCUUCGUUCACUCUAGAGAGAGAUUAGAGAGAGAGAGAUAGGAGAGAGAGAGAUGUCGAGAUCGGCGGCGGAGGCAGCGGGGGGAGGAGGAGCGGCGGCGAGGUUGUCAAUAUGGGAGUCGCUGAGGGGGUGUUGAAUCUUCGGGAAGGAGAUCGACAAGGAGGAACUUCGGCGGCAGAUCGCGAUGCCCCAGUCCCUCUGUGCGGCGGUGGCCGCUGCCGUGAGGAGCAAGGACACGACCUCCCCCGCGGCGGCGGCGGCGGCGGCGUCGACCGCCAGCGAGGAGGCUGCGCCGGAGUAGACGAAGGCGCCAGUGGUCGUCUUCGUCAACUCGGGUGGCAGGGGGCGCCAUGGCCCCAAGCUCAAGCUCUGGCUCCGGGAGCUCAUAAGCCAGGAACAGGUUAAGAGAAACACGCACACACACACACUCUCUUUCUCAUGCUUUUUGCUAGGUUUAUUGCGAGUUUUUGGCCUAAGAUUUGGUCGGAGAAACUCCGGGAGUGCCACUCUAAAGAACGAUUUAUAUAAAUACUUUAUAUCCAUUACUUCUUAUGUUUUGGUUGAAACUUUUUAGUAUGCUCGAAACGUGGGCUCGAAUCAAAUAGCGGAAAAUUGUUCACAAUUUCCCCAUGAGCACGGCGGCGAAGCAGCCUACAAUAACCCCAAAAGAAGAACCUGCCCUAUUUGAUCUGAGCGGAGUGAGUUUUUUUUUAAAAAAAUUUAAUUUGGCAUUCGAAUUUUGAAUUAUCCCCACAAUUUCGACUUAGUUUACUUGUAUUUUGAAGCUUGUUUGAUUGUUAUGUAGAUUAAAGUGCUAUUCACUCAGUUUCUCUAAUUGAUGUGUAAUUGUUGAACAUAUGGAAUUGAUGUUAGACCAUCUGCCUAAUAGUGAUUCGAACUGAUACUCGCGUCAAUGAAUUAUAUUUGGUUGAAGUUUUGUUUUGCAUGAAUUACUAAUAGUGAUGCUUUGUUUUAAUUGUUCUAGCGUAGGAUAGAUAAAUCGAGUAACGGAAACAUUAAUUUGCUGGUAUCUUAGUCUUUUUAGAUUUACUGUGGCACUAAUUUUUUCCACUUAUCACCCCCACACUGUAGUUUACUAUGCACAUUGCAUUUUACUUGACUAUGAAGUGCUUUAGUUGCUUAAGCUAAAUGCAUAAGUAGGUUUCUGGUCAAACGAGCUUGGAGCAAAUGUUGGCUUUGGUACUACUAUACCUUGAUAAAAAAAUAGUAUAAUGGAUUUGAGAAGGAAAGCAGCAGUUGUAUUAGAUUAAAUUUCCAUCAAAGCAAAAAAUUGAUGCUACAGAUGAACCCUCAACUCAUUUUAGGCCCUGAGUACAUAAGCAAGCUACCCUAGAAGUGCCCUUCUCACUCUUCAACUUUCUUCCUGGCAGACAGAUGCAUUUGCACUACAAUCGUUGAUUCUUCGAGUAGCAUUCAUGCCAUUUCUUCAUAUUUGCCAAAAAGUGUCUUCUUGAAGCUUUGUUAUAUAGAUGCAUCUCAAGUGAAAGAUAAAAGCUUUUUCAUAUAAAAUACUCACAUUGGGUUAAUUUUGUGAAUUUCGAUACUCAGUUCUUGGAAUUUAUUGAUCUUUUCUAUUACACACAAUUCUUCUGGGCAAAGUAGGACGACAAUUGAUGUUAUAUUUAACUUAUCUCAUUUGAGAUAUGCAUUCAAUGAUGCUUGAGUACUUCGAUUUUUUUUCAUAAUUAAACAAGAUUGUUGAAUUUCAGAUAGUUCACUGAACUUUGCCGAGGCUGAUGGAUCAUGAAGGGUUCAGAGGCAUAUUGACCUCGGAUAAGUACAUCAAUCCUGUCAACUAGUCAACAACUGGAACUUAGUUAAAUCGAUUAUCUGCUUAUUUGCAAUACUAAUACAUUUACACCAAAACUAUAUGAACUCAUCUAAAAACAUGGAUCCUUGGUAAAAUUUUUCAUAUCCACUUCUAUUUCAAACUUGAAACCUUUUCUCCAUUUGCUAAUAUAACCAAACCCACUUGAGUCUUUGAUUCUUAACGAACUAGUCUACAACUUCAUCUUUAUGGCCGAGAAACUUCAUCUUUAGGGCUAACUUACGUCAAUAUGUUCACCAUAUUUAUAAAAUAACUCAAUUGGAGAGUUCCAAGUUUGCUGUUCGUAUAAGGUCUAGAAUCCAACGGAUGAAUGGAGAAAUAGCACUUCUUUUUCCAGUCUUAAACACUUCAGUACCGUAAAUUUUGCUAUCUUUGUUACUACUGCAAUAUUUAUUUUCCGAAUUUUCGGUAUAUUACAGAACAAUUUGACAUGAACUUGUAGUCUUUAUUAUUAGUUGAUUGACAAUUCCCAUUAUUACAGGGAUUUGUCGCACAACAAUUUGACAGGGUCCAUACCUGAUGCUUUAUCGGAGUUACCGUCACUUGUAUUCCUGUAUGUAACAUAUUUUUCUAGGUUUAAUUUUUCCUGGCUUCUUGCAGAGAUUUGGCAUAUAACCAACUAAACGGAUCAAUUCCCGCAGGCCUACUUAAAAAAUCACAAGAUGGGUCACUUACCUUAAGGUUUGAAUUCUCUUUAGUUUUACUGCUCCUUUUGAAUUGCGUUUCGUCAAACUGUGUUUCUUUUUUCUAUCUAUCAAAGAGGUUUCCUUUUUUUUAUAAUAGAUUUCUCGCUCUUCUUCUUCAUCUUUUCAAGUUUAGACUAACUGCGCUCAACUAACUCUAUGGUCUUUUCAAUGCUAGAAUUGGAAAUAAUUUAAAUCUUUGUAACAACGGUGAUUCAUGUGUGCUCACAAAAUCAAAGAAGAGUACACCGACGGCUGUUAUCGUGAUUGUUCCAAUAGUUGUGGUAGUGCUACUGGUGGCAGCGAUGCUAGUAAUGUGCAGAAUAAGGAAACAUAGAGGUAACUUUUAUUGAUGUAAAAUCCUUUCUUGUGCAUUCUCCUAAACAUUGGUAUUUGAGUGAUCUUAGAAAUUGUAGUACAUCCAUUAUUGAUCAUCUUACGUGUUGAUUUGCUUUUCUCAAAGGCUUAGCAAUAGGCACCUCUGUGAAGCCGUCGAGAAGGGACAACAAUAAUGAGGACCAUUUGUUGCAAUUUGAGAACAGGUAGUUCACGUACACGGAGUUAGAGAUAAUAACGAAUUACUUUGAGCGAGAAAUAGGCAGAGGAGGAUUCGGGAAGGUCUAUGAUGGCUUCUUGGAGAAUGGUACUCAAGUUGCGGUGAAGAUGCGCUCUCAGUCAUCUCAUCAAGGAGUAAAAGAAUUUCUCUGUGAGGUAAUCUAUUUCAAUCAACUUAGCUCAGGUUUUUGGUUCAAAAAAGGAUCAAACUGAACUGAAUAUGUCAUGAAACCAAAAGAAUAGCAAACGAAACCUAAUUGAACCAACAUGAAUAUUAUUGGUAUGGUUUACACAGGUUGGAGUUCAGCUGUCUUAUCGGGCUUUGUUUAGGUUUAAUAUGGUUUUGCUCAUCGAUUUCCUAUCUAAUGACUGCGAUGUCUAUAAUCUGCAACCAUUUAGGUUGGGUCUACAUCUUAUUAUUGUUAAUCUAUUACAGUAAACUUAUAGUUUGGUAUAGUAUGGAGCAUAUUAAUCAUCAUCUCUUCUGCUCUGCAUAACUUAGUUGAAGAAUUUUGAGAUUUCUUUAUUUAUUGUGUUGGCGCAAGAUUACUGUUGGUAUAUAGUCUACUCAAACUCAUAUGCUUCUUAAUACACACCUGACAGCAUUCUGAAUUCUAUUACAGGCCCAACACUUAACAAGGGUUCAUCACAAGAACCUAGUUUCGCCGAUUGGCUACUGUAAGGAUGGAGACUACCUGGGACUUGUUUAUGAGUACAUGGCUGAAGGGAUCCUCGGACUUGUUUAUGAGCACAUGGCUGAAGGGACCCUCCAAGAACAUCUGAGAGGUUUGUGAAUUUUAAAUUUGUUAAAUAUUUUGUGGUUGCGAUCAAGCUGAUUCAACGAGCUAUUGUUGACCAUCUUUGACAGGUAGAACUUCUGGAGCUAGACCUUUGACAUGGGGACAGCGGCUCCGAAUUGCAUUAGGUGACAAUGCAAUGAUAAUCUAGUAUGGUUCUUGUAAGACAAUUUAAGUUACUUAGUUUGAUUUAGUCUUACUUAUGUUGUCCCAAACUUGUAGAUGAUUAGUUUUUUUCAACUUCUUUCUGUAAAUCUUCUUGCGUGAGUAUACAAUCUCUAUUGUGAGAGACACAAUUCGAUGCAAAAUGUAGGAUUUCUGCUUGUUGAUCUGUGGUUUGUUUGGAAAGCUUUCUAUAAUGGUAUCCUAGGCUUGAUUGGCUAUGGGACAGCUUUUUAAGAUGAACUAUGUUGUAAAGAUUAUUUAUACUCUUUUUAACAUAUGAAGUUUGAUUAAGUCUUACUUAUUUGUGUGGAAUAAUUUUAUGAUUAAAUACUUUAUAGAGAUUCAAUUAGAUUUAAUAUAUAUUGGUUAUAAGGUGUUUGAGCCAUAGUACUUGGGUUUAAUUUGGUUUUGAGAGGAUUAAAUUGAAAUUAAAGGUUAAAAUUUAAGAAUAAGAAAUUUUUAUAACUAUUGGUUAUUUUUUAGCAAUUUAUACUAAAUCAAUAAUAUCUUUUACUACCAAUUAUUUUUUUAAAAAAAUUUAUUUUAUAUCAGAAAAUUGGUGGCGACAAUAGUUGCCACCAUAAAACUAUCCGGCGGGGUUUUAGCGACGACAGAAUGUCUUCGCUAAUUAUCUAACUUUUCGCGGCGACCGUAUGUCGCCGCUAAUUAUCUAACUUUUAGCGGUGACAAAUUGUCGCCACCAAAUAGUUUUACCGACGGGGUUUUAGGCGGCGGCAUGCGGCGACAAAUUGUCGCCGCCAAAACGUUUUUCGUGGCGACAAUUUUGACUAUGGUGGCGACAUUUGUCGCCACUAAAUCUUAUACCUGUAGUAGUGGAUCUAGAAGGAAAUACUCAAACCCUAACAUCAAAACCCUUAAAACAUAGAGUACUUAUCUUAGAUCCAAGCUCUAUUCCAAGCUAGGUCACCAUUAGAGGGUUUCUUCACCACCAAGCUAUCUCUUCUCCAUCUGUAAGGACUGAGAUUUUGACAGUGCAACUAAACUCUCUGUUGACGAUAUUUUUUUUUGUGUAAUUUAAUUACAUCAGCACUCGUCAAGUUUCAGGAGAAAACGAGUUAGAACGGAGAAGUUACGCGACCAGAACCGAUGACUUAAAGUGAAUAGUAACUCCGACUUUUCAGUUGAGCUAGUAAGUAGAGAAGGGUUUUGGUGCAUAUUGGACUCCGAAUAUAGGACUCCAAUAGCUCGUUUCGAACGGCUCGACUAUUUUGGACCUAAUGGCACUGACAGAAUUGGGUUCUGAUGGACGGUUUUCGAGAAAAAGGGGUUUGAUUGGGUUUACAUAUAUAAAUAUAUGUGGUUACUUGGUGGUUUGUAAUGAGGGUUGACUUCAUCGCAAAUCGGCUAACAAAUCAGAUAAAGCAAAAUGCUAGAUUCGAUGCCCCAGUUGUGCUGAACGCGCUGGCGCAAUCCGAUCGGAAAUCCGACGGACGGAUCUUCGGGAAUCGCAAAAUGUUCGCUGAGAGGUCGAAAUCAGCAAAAUGGAGAAAUCGUGAAAGGUCCAAUAUUUUAUGCGCCGUUUUGCGCUAGUUCGAACGUCGAGGGACUUAUGUGCAAAUGACACGUUCUUGUAGGGGACCUAGCUGAUAAUAUUGGUCUACGGUGGACUUUUCUACAAUUAUACAUUGGGUAUAAAUAUUGGUUUAGGGUUUCCAUGAGAAACCCUAACCCUAACUCGUCCCCCAACCAACCAGUCCACCCUAGCCGCCCUAGCUCCUCCUUGCCCUACCCGUGCUCAUGCCCCGGCCGCCGGCGAGCAGCCCCGGCCGCCGGAAAUCCCUGCAGCACCUCUCUCUCUCUCUCUCUCUCUCGGCCACCCACUUCACCGCUUUGUGGUUGCGGGUCCCAGGAAGUCAUCCAAGCCUGGGCGACAGCACCUUUUGGUCGAGACCCAUCUCAGGCAUCUCCCCUGUCGGCCCCGUCGUCCCUGCACGGCGCCGAAACCGCCUGCACAAAGCUGCGGCCAGCCUGGGCCAACCCAGGCCGAGCUGACUUCAGCUCGGGGCCCGCUUGUUGGAGCCUCCCUAGAUCAGCCGCCCCGACUUCCUCCGGCCUCCAGCUACCUCCGGCGCGCGUCCCCGGCCAUCCCCGUGCGCUGCCGGCGCCGCCCUAGCUCCCUGCAGCCAACCGCGGUGACCCAGACCGAGACUGGGUGAUCUCUGUUUCCGCGCGCCGCCGCCGCUCCCCGCUGGCAGUGCCGUCCUCCAGACAUAUCUGGUGACCUCCGGCGUGCAUCCCCGGACGUCCCUGAAGCCGCCGGCCGCCGCUCUUCAACUCUGCGGCUGCCCAAAGCUUGUGCGGGCCGAGGCCGAGCCACCUCGGCCACCGCACGACGCCGCUGCCCACGAAGGGGUGCAUCACGAUCCCCUCGGCAUCCGGCGACGGAUUGACGUCGCCCCGACCUCCUCCGACCGCCGCCGCGCCGCCGGGAAGCCUUGAAACCGAGAGCAGUUGGCGGGCUUGAUCUCCUCCGCCGCGGCACCGGUUGCCGCCCGCCGUCGGCCAGCACCUGCCCCGGACCUCUUGGACCGGCUUCUUCCAUUCUCCGCCGGAGCGCUCGUCGUCCGGCCACUAGAGACCAACCCUAACUCCCACUGCUCCGGUAUGCUAUUGUUUUAAGUUCCAGCACUGUAGUUUGGGGUUCCGGUCGUCUUUUCGGCAAUUCGAGAGCACUCCGAUAGUUAAGGAAGUGAGCACGAUGAUCCUGGUUUCGUGCGGAACAUCGUGCCCACCUCCGUUAGGUUAAUUGAGGCCUUGGGUAGUGAAUUAGACGCAACGUAGGCGCUGUGCGCGCUGUUUACAGAAGUUUGCAUCGCUCGAGCGCCCGCUACAGUGGCCGGUAGUGCUCAGAAAGGUGAGCACGGCCUCUGGCCCUCAAAAAGGUGAGCACGGCCUCUGGCACACUGAGACCUAUCAUCGAGUGUCUCAGCUUAGCAGAAUAAUCCUCGGUUUCUGCUAGCGGACCAUAAAAGCCCCGAAAUCACAUAAAAUAAUGUGAUUUUGGGUAAUCGGGAGGGUUUUUAUGCAAUUGUUCAUAUUGUGACUACUGUUUACAGUAUGUGCAGGCUGUGGGUACCCUCUGGACUGAUUGUCCAAAGCCCCAGACCUUUGCGGUGAUCGAAAGUACUUUUCCGGAGCGUUUGUCGGCAAAAUCCGCCGACAGAAUGCAGUUUCGGUUCGGAAUUCUUCCGACGGUGCUUUGUGAUGAUUUGCUAUGUCACCGAGCCUUGUUGGCUGUUCACUCGCGUCAUUUCGAGGGUUUGGAAAUGACGGGUGCGCGACGGUGGGUUCCGGUGUCGAAAUAGACACUUUCGGGAACCCGGAUCGAAACGAUUAUCCGACGGUAAUUGUUUCGACGUGAGGAGUUGUGUUUGCUGCCAUGAGGCACGAUUAUUUAUGUUUAGUGGCAGCGGGUGACUCGUAGCGCGAGUCGGUGUAUUCCGGGACAGUUCGUGGGUCCCGGGGAAGUCCCAGUGCGAUUUUUGGGACUUCCGGCGAGUUACCGUAAUUGGUUUCGGGAAACCGAUCUCCGUGGGAUUGUUGGUGGAGUUGUGAUACUGUGGUUAUUAGUUGUGGGUUAGGCACUAACCCGGUCGACCUUCCUUAGGUCCAGUUGACGUUCUUUUGCAGUCAGGAGACAGGCGCGACAUCCUUACAGGUGGGUACUUCGAUCCGACGUCGGUACAGUAGUGCACGCUCGGUGAUGGUUUCUUACCCUUACUCUUCUGUUGUUAUUAUUGCAUAGUAUAUAUUGAGCCUAGCACCCAUGUUAUUCCAUUAUACUCUACUCGUUUGCAUGCUUAAUAUCCUGAGUAGGAGUAGAGAAGUUCUAUCUAUGUGCGUAUCUGUUGACCUGGUUGGUCGAUUCUUGUACUUCAUAUCAGUGACUUGGUAGGUCGAUAAUUGUACUUCAUAUCAGUGACUUGGUAGGUCGAUUCUUGUACUUCGUAUCAAUGACUUGGUUGGUUGGUUCUCGUAUCUCGUAUUUGUGACACAUUUGGUCGGUUCCUUGACUUCUGUCGUUCGAUGACCGUUGUGGUCAAUGUACCCUAGAGGGGUUGGAUUGUUGGCUAGUGGCCGACGGUAGUUCUGAAUUCUAUUGAUACACUCUGAUGACCUAUUUGUCGAUUCGUUAUGCAUAUAUCCUAGUUGACCUGAGUGGUCAGUCCUUGUGGUUCAUUGAGCAGUAUUUGUAUACUUUUGAGAUGAUGUUGAUGUUGUUUCAUCCUAGUUGACCUGAGUGGUCAAUUCUUGUGCUUCCUUAUAGUUGAUGACCUAUACGGUCGAUGAGCCCUAUGGGCAGGAUUGUCGGCUGGUUGCCGACGUUUGGCUUUUGAGCAUAUCAGCAUUGAUCGCCCGACUCGUUCGCAGUUCACGAACACCGGCGGUCUGAUUCACCGCAAGAGGUGUUCUUUUCCGGAAAAGUGGUUGCAGGUGCCAACCCGUGAGCCCUAGAGGGGUUAUAUGCAUGUUAGAGCGGCAGUGGUAUUGUCGGGAGGUGUUGCGGUGCGGACCUCCAGGGCACAGGCUUGAAGUUUGCGGUGCGGACCAACAGAGCAGCAGAUUCCAAAUUGGGUAUAUUUGGUCUAUACAUCCGAUUGAUACAUAUGUCUAUAGUAGCAGUCGUUGCAUGCAUACUUACAGUU